ensembl:lncRNA
GUUGAGAUGGCAUCAUCGGUCGACCGGUUGGACAGAUAUGCAAACUGGAAUGGGUCCAGGGAGGGGGGGGGGGCAGACUUGAUGUGGUGCAUGACUAGCCGUCCGAAGCACUUCAUGAGGAUGGGAGUAAGUGCAACAGGACGGUAGUCAUUGAAGCAGGAUGGAGAUGGCUUCUUCGGGACUGGAAUGAUGGUGGUAGCUUUGAAGCAUGUGGGAACAACAGCCUGACUAAGUGAGAUGUUGAAAAUGUCUGUGAAGACAUCAGUGAGUUCUGCUGCACAGUCUCUCAGUACACGCCCAGGAAUGUUGUCAGGACCCGGAGCUUUGCGUGCAUUGAUCCUGCUGAAGGAUCUCCUCACGCUGUCUGGGGUCAGCAUCAUCACCUGGUCACUGGGAGGAGGUGGAGUCUUCUGUGCAGUGGUGCUGUUUUGUGCCUCAAAGCAAGCGAAGAAGGUGUUCAGCUCGUUCAGCAGAGAGAUGUUGCUGUCACAGGUCCGCUGUGGGGGCUUGUAGUCCGUAAUGGUCUGUAUCCCCUGCCACAGGCUCCGAGUGUCUCUGCUGUCGCUGAAUUGAUGGGCUAUCCUCCUGGAAUACUGUCUCUUGGCCUCUCUGAUGCCGCGGGAUAGGUUGGCCCUGGCUGUUCCCAGGCCCCCCUCAUCUCCAGCUCUGAAGGCAGCGUUCCGCAUCUCCAGGAGUCUGUAGACCUCCCCUGUCAUCCACGGCUUCUGGUUGGCCCGGACAGUGAUGGUUUUUGUGACUGUUACAUCCUCAAUACACUUGCUCCUCUCUGUGUGGUGUAAACAAAGUCUAAAAUGUUAUUACCUCUUGUUGGAAAGUUAAUGUGUUGGUGUAUUUUUGGAAACACACUCUUUAAGUCAGCAUGGUUGAAAUCCCCAGCUAUGAUGAGAAAAGCAUCGGGGUGUGCUGUCUGCUGCUCACUGAUGUGCUGGUGCAGUUCAUUUAGUGCAUCGUUCCUGUUGCUGUUGUUGUUGUUCGGGGGAAUGUAAACCGAAACGAGCAGUAUGGCAGUAUAUUCCCUCGGCAGAUAGAACGGCUGGCACUUAAUAAUCAUAAACUCCACCAGGGGUGAGCAGUGUUUGCAGAUCACAACAGCAUCGCGGCACCACGCGUCAUUGAUGUAAACACAAAGCCCGCCGCCACGGGUUUUUCCUCCCGCGACGCGAGCUCUGUCUGCUCGAUAGCACGUCAGCUGGUCGAGCUGAAUGGCGCAGUCUGGAACGCUGUCGCUGAGCCAUGUUUCCGUGAAUACAAAAACACAACAGUCUCUUACAGUCCUUUGAGUUGAACGUAGUAAUCGGAUGAAGUCCAGUUUAUUGUCCAAAGAGCGUACGUUAGCCAGUACGAUGGUGGGGAUAGAUGGCUUGUGUGGGUUAGCCGUUAGCCUAGCCCGGAUACCUCCGCGCUUACCCCUCUUCUGCUUCCUCUCACGCCGCUUGUGGCGCCUCCGCUGUGGGCAAGAUGCAGCAGUGGGGGUCGGUGAUGAUGUAG